rnacentral:rRNA from 1 species
AUUGAACGCUGGCGGCAGGCCUAACACGUGCAAGUCGAGCGGAUGAAGGGAGCUUGCUCCUGGAUUCAGCGGCGGACGGGUGAGUAAUGCCUAGGAAUCUGCCUGGUAGUGGGGGAUAACGUCCGGAAACGGGCGCUAAUACCGCAUACGUCCUGAGGGAGAAAGUGGGGGAUCUUCGGACCUCACGCUAUCAGAUGAGCCUAGGUCGGAUUAGAUAGUUGUUGGGGUAAAGGCCUACCAAGGCGACGAUCCGUAACUGGUCUGAGAGGAUGAUCAGUCACACUGGAACUGAGACACGGUCCAGACUCCUACGGGAGGCAGCAGUGGGGAAUAUUGGACAAUGGGCGAAAGCCUGAUCCAGCCAUGCCGCGUGUGUGAAGAAGGUCUUCGGAUUGUAAAGCACUUUAAGUUGGGAGGAAGGGCAGUAAGUUAAUACCUUGCUGUUUUGACGUUACCAACAGAAUAAGCACCGGCUAACUUCGUG